rnacentral:rRNA from 1 species
CAAUAGCGUAUAUUAAAGUUGUUGCAGUUAAAAAGCUCGUAGUUGGAUUUCUGGUUGAAGCGACCGGUCGGGCGUUGAUUCGUCUGCACUGGAGUCGGUUUUGGCCAUCCUCUAGGUAAGUGCGUCUGGUAUUAAGUUAUCGGGCGUAUGAUCCUGGUCUUUUACUGUGAAAAAAUUAGAGUGUUUAAAGCAGGCCUUCGCCUUGAAUACAUUAGCAUGGAAUAAUAAGAUAGGACUUUGGUCUAUUUUGUUGGUUUGCAGACCGAAGUAAUGAUUAAUAGGGAUAGUUGGGGGUAUUUAUAUUCCGAUGUCAGAGGUGAAAUUCUUAGAUUUUCGGAAGAUAAACUUAUGCGAAAGCAUUUACCAAGGAUGUUUUCAUUAA